rnacentral:rRNA from 1 species
UUACCAGCCUUUGACAUGGCAGGGCGAUUUCCAGAGAUGGAUCUCUCUCAGCAAUGAGCCUGCACACAGGUGCUGCAUGGCUGUCGUCAGCUCGUGUCGUGAGAUGUUGGGUUAAGUCCCGCAACGAACGCAACCCUCGCCCCUAGUUGCCAUCAUUCAGUUGGGCACUCUAGGGGGACUGCCGGUGAUAAGCCGCGAGGAAGGUGGGGAUGACGUCAAGUCCUCAUGGCCCUUACGGGCUGGGCUACACACGUGCUACAAUGGUGGUGACAGUGGGAUGCGAAAGGGCGACCUCUAGCAAAUCUCCAAAAGCCAUCUCAGUUCGGAUUGCACUCUGCAACUCGAGUGCAUGAAGUUGGAAUCGCUAGUAAUCGUGGAUCAGCAUGCCACGGUGAAUACGUUCCCGGGCCUUGUACACACCGCCCGUCACACCAUGGGAGUUGGUUUUACCCGAAGGCGCUGGGCUAACCCGCAAGGGAGGCAGGCGACCACGGUAGGGUCAGCG